GGAUGUGAGGGUGAUCUGCCUACAACAUCUCUCACCCCACUGAUUGUCAGAGUGGAUUCCAUUGCUCUGGUUGAUUAGGCAGGUGUCCCUGUCCUCCAAAACUGUUCCAUGUGCUUCCUUCUGGAAGCUGUGUGCUCUAAGAGGAUGACCAUCCCCACUAGAGGAGUACCAUUCUUGGGUCAAAGGUUUAAUUUAGAAUAGAUAAAUAGGUAGAUAGAUAGAUAGAUAGAUAGACAGGAAUUUUUCACUUCUUUUCAAU
rnacentral:sRNA from 1 species